rnacentral:rRNA from 1 species
ACGAACGCUGGCGGCGCGCCUCACACAUGCAAGUCGCACGAGCGAGAGGAGGUUUACUUUCUCAAGCGAGUGGCGAACGGGUGAGUAACGCGUGAGGAACCUGCCUCAAAGAGGGGGACAACAGUUGGAAACGACUGCUAAUACCGCAUAAGCCCACGACCCGGCAUCGGGUAGAGGGAAAAGGAGCAAUCCGCUUUGAGAUGGCCUCGCGUCCGAUUAGCUAGUUGGUGAGGUAAUGGCCCACCAAGGCGACGAUCGGUAGCCGGACUGAGAGGUUGAACGGCCACAUUGGGACUGAGACACGGCCCAGACUCCUACGGGAGGCAGCAGUGGGGAAUAUUGCACAAUGGGGGAAACCCUGAUGCAGCGACGCCGCGUGGAGGAAGAAGGUCUUCGGAUUGUAAACUCCUGUUGUUGAGGAAGAUAAUGACGGUACUCAACAAGGAAGGGACGGCUAACUACGU